CCCAAGCCUUUUUAGGGCUUAAGGAAAUUUUUGAUUUUGUUUGAUGAGAUAAUGCCGGGGAAGGUUUUCCGGUUUACUCCGGAGGGCUUGUAGCUCAGUUGGUUAGAGCGCGCGCUUGAUAAGCGUGAGGUCGGAGGUUCAAGUCCUCCCAGGCCCACCAAUUUAUGAUGACUUAAAAUUCUUAUUGCUUUAUCAUUGGCUUAUGAGGCUGUUUCAUUUAUUUAUCAUAAUUGUUUAUCACGUGUUUGAUACUUUCAGGCGUUUUUUAAAGUUUUUGUCUGUUUAAAGUUUUAAGCUCUUUUACCCUAUUUAGGGGCCGUAGCUCAGCUGGGAGAGCACCUGCUUUGCAAGCA
rnacentral:misc_RNA from 1 species